AGCAUAGCAACAGCAGCGUAGCUGAACAUCUUACGGAUGGCCCAGGGCUCCAAAGGCUCGUUUCCUAAGUGAGAGAGAGCCUGGCUGAAGCUGUAUUACCAUUCAUUCUCCAGCCUCCGAAGUCUCAAAGCAUCACUUCCACCAUACUCUAACUGUCAAGACAAACACAAAGGCCCAGAAACUGCCAGACUGUCUUCUGAAGUGGCUAUAAUAUUUACACUCCCAUCAGCAGUGUAGAAGGGGUCUCACUAUGUUGUCUGGAGUGCUGUGGUGGAGUGGAGUGGCUAUUCACAGAGCCUGUUCUGCUGGGACACAGAAUCACUUGCUCCAUCUCAUACAUUGAUGAUGAUUAAUUUGUAUGUGUACCUUCCAAAAAAGAUGGUUGUGUUUGAAUGGAGGCCUUCUGGACAGGAAAAUAUGGAGAGUGCGUGCUUUGGAUUCAAGACUGGGAAUGAGGGGACCAGAAACCUAUUCUGUGGCUGUUUCUUGUUAGGACUUUCCUAAGCCUCUGGAAAAGUGCAAAGUACAAUUAACAUUUGAGUCUGUCUGAGUCAUGAAGAAAUGGAGAUUACUGAAAAUAAUUCAUUUUGGUAUCUUCUUACAUCCUGAGAGACUAAUCUUUCCAAGUUCAUCUGAGGCUCCUCUUCUCCAUGACAACCUCAUCCAGGGAUUUCUUCCUGUCCUGGUGUUUUAUGACAUGUGGAAGGGGACUGUAGCAGGUGAUCUCCAAAGUCUCUGGAGACUUACUAAUGUGCAUCCUCAUCUCGCUUGUAAGGAUAAUAGCCUUCCUCCAAACCUCACACACUUUUGGAGGAGAUCACUUUUUUUAAAGUGCAUGGAAAUGUUUUGAAACAGUGAAAUCUAUAAUGAUAGGUUUCAUAAUUCUAACAUCCACACCAUAUGAAUCACAUCCUUCCUGAGAUAAUGAGCACACAAUUGCCUGGAUACCUGAAGGAAUGGAGACAGCGGCAGAAAACACUGCAGAGAGAUACAGUGAACCCACAUGUUGAAGCUUUCUAGUAUAAUAAAAAUUUCAACUGUUCUGUUGAAUCAUCUGCCUGAUUGGAGGCUACAGAAAAGAUGUCAUCUUAGGAGUGCUUGCUCUGAGUGAGGCUCAUCUUCAAAUCUGAAUGACCACAAGGAGAUUUGAUUAUACAUGUGAACACCUCAGAAGGCACAGCCCACCCAGAAGGCAGACAGGUCAGGCUGCUUUUUCUUCAUUGCUUGGAUUCAAUCCUCCGGGCGGCUCAGGCUCAAACAUAACUUAAGCAUGAUUAAACUUUAGAAGAAGCUGCCAGGAAGACUGUGAAAUCUUCAUGCCCAAGGAUCCCUAAAAUUAGGAGCAACAACCACUUGGCUCAGACGGUUUAUGGAGGCAAAGGUUUGGAUGGGAUUAGAGAUUUCUAAAUGUGAGUUCGUGUCCUCUGCCAGACCACCUUACUUCCACCAUUCCUCAGCAAAUCAAGAAAAACAGGAGAAAAGACAUGCCUUUCCAUAAGUUAAAUCUAUUCUGUUUUAAUUCUAUAUUAUAUCUGCUGUACAACUUCUUUUGUUUGUAACACCAUAUUGUUGCUAGUAACUGGAAAUUAAUUUUCACAUGCCUCAGCUUAGAAAAAUAAAAAGCAGCCCUGCAUCAA
ensembl:lncRNA LINC00635 long intergenic non-protein coding RNA 635